rnacentral:rRNA from 1 species
GAUGAACGCUGGCGGCGUGCCUAACACAUGCAAGUCGAACGGAGAUACGAUGUGAGCGAGAGGUGCUUGCACUGAUUAAUCUUUUCGUAUCUUAGUGGCGGACGGGUGAGUAACGCGUGGGUAACCUGCCUUAUACCGGGGGAUAACACUUAGAAAUAGGUGCUAAUACCGCAUAAGCGCACGGUGUCGCAUGACACAGUGUGAAAAACUCCGGUGGUAUAAGAUGGACCCGCGUCUGAUUAGCCAGUUGGCAGGGUAACGGCCCACCAAGGCGACGAUCGGUAGCCGGACUGAGAGGUUGAACGGCCGACAUUGGGACUGAGACACGGCCCAGACUCCUACGGGAGCAGCAGUGGGGAAUA